CCGUGUCAGACUAUAAAGCCUGUUUUCCACUUCGCCCGUACCGUACCGUAACGUAGCGAAAACGUUUUUAAAUUUCAAAAUUUCGUGAAUGUUGAUUGGUUAGUACUUCCGUAGUACGCCAAAAAGUUGACUUGCGACGAACUUUUUAUUUUGAUACGCGAAUACACCCGGAAGUACGUGAAUUUAUAAACCUCUUUUCAAUCAGCGCAUGCUCACCGAUACGUUACGAUACGGGCGAAGUGGAAAACAGGCUUAAGUGUGCUAUAAGGAUUUUCCAAUUGAUUUGUUAUAAAUGUCCGUAAAUGCGACCCCUUUCAGGGCCAAUAAAAAAUUGAUAAUUUGAUAUCGAUUCGAACAAGACUAUUACAAAGACGAACAUGUUGGUUUUCAUACAACAAUUUAUAUACAACAAAAUCUAUCAUAAUCCUUACGGGAAGGCAAUUAUUUUUCAGUGCGG